UCGUCACACUAUCAUUAACUGAAUCCAUAGGUUAAUGAGGCGAACCGGGGGAACUGAAACAUCUAAGUACCCCGAGGAAAAGAAAUCAACCGAGAUUCCCCCAGUAGCGGCGAGCGAACGGGGAGGAGCCCAGAGCCUGAAUCAGCAUGUGUGUUAGUGGAAGCGUCUGGAAAGGCGCGCGAUACAGGGUGACAGCCCCGUACACAAAAGCGCAUGUGCUGUGAGCUCGAUGAGUAGGGCGGGACACGUGGUAUCCUGUCUGAAUAUGGGGGGACCAUCCUCCAAGGCUAAAUACUCCUGACUGACCGAUAGUGAACCAGUACCGUGAGGGAAAGGCGAAAAGAACCCCGGCGAGGGGAGUGAAAAAGAACCUGAAACCGUGUACGUACAAGCAGUGGGAGCACCCUUUGGGUGUGACUGCGUACCUUUUGUAUAA
rnacentral:rRNA from 1 species